rnacentral:rRNA from 1 species
UGCCAGCAGCCGCGGUAAUACGUAGGCAGCGAGCGUUGUUCGGAGUUACUGGGCGUAAAGGGUGUGUAGGCGGUUGUUUAAGUUUGGUGUGAAAUCUCCCGGCUCAACUGGGAGGGUGCGCCGAAUACUGAAUGACUUCGAGUGCGGGAGAGGAAAGUGGAAUUCCUGGUGUAGCGGUGAAAUGCGUAGAUAUCAGGAGGAACACCGGUGGUGUAGACGGCUUUCUGGACCGUAACUGACGCUGAGACACGAAAGCGUGGGUAGCAAACAGGAUUAGAUACCCUGGUAGUCCACGCCCUAAACGAUGCAUAUUUGGUGUGGGCAGUUCAUUCUGUCCGUGCCGGAGCUAACGCGUUAAAUAUGCCGUCUGGGGAGUACAGUCGCAAGGCUGAAACUCAAAGGAAUUGACGGGGGCCCGCACAAG